UUUUUUUUUUUUUCCUUUUCACGUGCUUUCUACUCAUGUGUGUUAAUCUUAUUAACAGUAAUACAUGCCUUAAUAUGCUUUACUUCAUCUCUUACAGGUGGUUAAUAUAUGAAGAUCUUUGCCAGGAGGAACAAGAAAAGGAAGUUAAAGGUGCCGUGUUCUUGAGGAGAUGGAUACUGAAAGAUGGAUGAAUUCAGCGGUCUGGCAAGGAAAUGGAAAUGAGGUCUAAUAAUAUGUUGGCUUUAGUGUAUGGAGGGGGAAACUGAGCAGGCAUUGUCUAGCAAAUAAAAGCUUUGGAACAAAAG
rnacentral:lncRNA from 1 species